rnacentral:rRNA from 1 species
CCUACGGGGGGCAGCAGUGAGGAAUAUUGGUCAAUGGACGAGAGCCUGAACCAGCCAAGUAGCGUGAAGGAUGACUGCCCUAUGGGUUGUAAACUUCUUUUAUAAAGGAAUAAAACGAGGCACGUGUGCCUUUAUGCAUGUACUUUAUGAAUAAGGAUCGGCUAACUCCGUGCCAGCAGCCGCGGUAAUACGGAGGAUCCGAGCGUUAUCCGGAUUUAUUGGGUUUAAAGGGAGCGUAGAUGGGUUGUUAAGUCAGUUGUGAAAGUUUGCGGCUCAACCGUAAAAUUGCAAUUGAUACUGGCAGUCUUGAGUACAGUUGAGGUAGGCGGAAUUCGUGGUGUAGCGGUGAAAUGCUUAGAUAUCACGAAGAACCCCGAUUGCGAAGGCAGCUUACUAAACUGUGACUGACAUUGAUGCUCGAAAGUGUGGGUAUCAAACAGGAUUAGAUACCCUAGUAGUC